CAGCCCACAGGUGUUAUAUAAAGCUUUAGGAAUCUCUCAAAUCCCAUUGAUAAGAGACAGGAUGUCUCCCCUGGAUUAUCCACUGAUUGGAUUAUCCACUCCCUUCCUCCAUAAAAGGGGAAUCAGAGGCAGAACUCACUGCAUUUUCCAGCAAUCCACGGGCUGUCUGCACAUCAGGAGUGGGGUCAGCAGGACAACUCUGCAGCCAUGGAGGAACCUGCAUCGGCCUGUUUUCCAAGCCAGCCUAUUCUGGGGAAGCUCAAAAGAAAUAUGAUGCCACAGACUUCAGAGAAGAAAAGACGGGUCCAUUUAUCCAAGACCAAGCAGAGACAUCGUGAAAGGUCUGCACUUCCUAUAAGACUCACCAGCUGCAUUUUUAAGAGGCCAGCUACAAGGAAGACUUCCUACCCUGGCACUGAGGUCAGGUACAGUCAACGGGAGGAGACCUUGCAGAAGCCCCUGUAAGUCUGCGCACACAGGAGACUGCAGGGACUCCAGGCCUGCAGCAGUGAAGGAGAACUUUUAAGGACUUUC